rnacentral:tRNA from 1 species
AUACUAUUAUCUUAAGUUUAAAGUUUUAGAUUUUUAAUCUAAAGAUAUUUUUUAUAGUAUA